GUAAAUAAUAAUUAUCGCAAAUCUUUGAUUUGUGGAAUUGGGCUUUUAUUUCGAAUAGAUUUAUGGCCUUAAAUUACGUUAUUGGCUUAUACAUGAAAUCCGAUCUAAAGGAGCAAAUUAAACAUUCUCUCGUUAGCGGAUUUUUUCACAAGCUUAUUACGAUUUUUGGUUGCCGAAGCACUUUCACGAGCGCGAAGCCAAAAUCGGAAGUUUUUUUAA
rnacentral:misc_RNA from 1 species